UAAAACUUUCAGCCCUGCAACGGGAUGGGAACCGAAACCUCCUGAAGAUUCCAUCCAACUCCUAUUCCGACACGUCCACGUCGUACAGGGUGGUAACAUGGGCCUAAACCUAACCUUUUGGGCGAGAGACGGCUCAUGGCUAAGGAGGAAGGG
rnacentral:ribozyme from 1 species